ensembl:rRNA 5S_rRNA 5S ribosomal RNA
GCUUGCGGCCCUACCACCCUGAGAACGCCCCAUCUUGUCUGAUCUCGGAAGCUAAGCAGGGUCGGGCCUGGUUAGUACUUGGAUGGGAGACCGCCUGGGAAUACCAGGUGCUGUAAGCU